UACGAAGGGUGCAAGCGUUGUUCGGAAUCAUUGGGCGUAAAGCGCGCGACAGGCGGAUCAGCAAGGUCAGAUGUGAAAUCUCGGAGCUCAACUCCGAAACUUGGCGUCUGAAACUGCUAGUCUAGAAUGUCGGAGGGGGCAGGGGAAUUUCACGUGUAGGGGUAAAAUCCGUAGAGAUGUGAAGGAACACCGGAGGCGAAGGCGCCUGCCUGGACGACUAGUUGACGCUGAAGGCGGCGAAAGCGUGGGGAGCAAACAGG
rnacentral:rRNA from 1 species